CCUACCUUCACCACGUCCUCUAUCUCCUUCUACCCCACCCGAUCUCAGGGCUUCUUUCGACACCGCUGCCCCUGUUUUCCCCUCCGACAUCGCUGCCGCACCAACCCCAUCACCACCUUCUUCUCCUUUUAUACCACUAGCCCCCAUCUUCCACUCUCUUCGCCAAAAGGUUAAACCAGUUCAUCUCCAAGAUUAUGUUUGCUUACAGGUUACUUUACCCACUCUUGACCAAUCGUCGGAUUCCUUGUCAUGUCGCACCAAAGGUACUCAUUAUCCCCU
rnacentral:lncRNA from 1 species